GGGAGCUUCACAUUCUCUGCUCCCGCCCACCACAUCCGCCCGCCCUCCGCGGUCACGCCUCGGACGGCGAGCACCUGCCAAGCAGUUAAAGAAGUUUUCUCUCUAGUCUUACUGAACCAUGGCACUACCUCCCAACACCAGCAAUCACAUCUCCUUGAAGCCUGAAGAGGUUCUGCCUAAGGACAGAGCUCCCCAAAGACUUCCAGAGGAAUCGAAAUGAAUAUAUGCAAAUUUUCCUUCAUCUUAUGACUUCAAAACUAUUGUCAACCCAUUAAAACUCUUUUCCUUGGUUUUUCAUUUAAUAAAACCUAAUUGUAAAGUCAGUUAUAUUUUAGGUAAUUUUCUCUGAUACCUAGACAAGACUCCUUGAGGCUGAGCUGCCUGAG
rnacentral:lncRNA from 1 species